rnacentral:rRNA from 1 species
GACGAACGCUGGUGGCAUGCCUAAUACAUGCAAGUCGAGCGAACAGAUGAAGUGCUUGCACUUCUGACGUUAGCGGCGAACGGGUGAGUAACACGUAAGGAAUCUACCUAUAAGCGGGGGAUAACAUUCGGAAACGGGUGCUAAUACCGCAUAAUAUCUUCUUCCGCAUGGAAGAAGAUUGAAAGACGGCUCUGCUGUCACUAAUAGAUGACCUUGCGGUGCAUUAGUUAGUUGGUGGGGUAACGGCCUACCAAGACGAUGAUGCAUAGCCGACGUAAGAGGGGGAUCGGCCACAUUGGGACUGAGACACGGCCCAAACUCCUACGGGAGGCAGCAGGAGGGAAUCUUCCGCAAUGGGCGAAAGCCUGACGGAGCAAUGCCGCGUGAGUGAAGAAGGCCUUCGGGUCGUAAAACUCUGUUAUAAGAGAAGAACAAAUUGUAGAGUAACUGCUACAGUCUUGACGGUAUCUUAUCAGAAAGCCACGGCUAACUACGUGCCAGCCGCCGCGGUAA